GUAUGCAGUGGGUGUGUGUUGAAUUUUGAAACCAGCUCUGGGCUUUUUUUUGAGGAUUUCUCUUCCCCAAAACUCUCACUUUCAUUAUACCCUUCAGUUUUCUUUGUUAUUCAGAGGUAAAAGGUUUGGUCUGUGUGUUUGUGAAGCAGACAUGAGUGACCCCAAGUAUGCAUAUCCCUACCCUGCACAAGGUUAUUAUCAAGGACCCCCUGUAAUGGCACCUCCACAAUAUGCUGCUCCACCGCCCAGAAGAGAAGCAGGUUUCCUUGAGGGAUGUCUAGCAGCUCUCUGUUGCUGUUGCCUGAUUGACGAAUGUUGCUGCGACCCUUCCAUCAUCUUUGUCAGCUAAUCAUCCUGUAAUCCCAUGCACCAAUAAUUUCCCACUUAUAAAUAUAUAUAGUAUAAUUGAAGGUGCAUGUUCGUGUUGGAUCACUUAUUAUUCUUGAACUUUUAAACUUAUAGUUUGUAUUAUCUCUUGAUC